UCUUCCAAGCCUCUUAAAUUAAAAAAAAAAAAAAAAAAACUUUUAGGCUUCUUAGAGAGCGAAUUAAAGAUGGCAUCCAUGAAGGCUGAGAGGCCUGGUGGUUCCCAAGUCCCGAUAGGACUGGGGAGCAAGACAGCCGAAGCAAAGCCCAAACCCUCAUCGCCAAAGUCUUCAGCUUCUAAGAAGCCUGAACAGAAGCCGCGUGCCCCAACAAAGAAGGUUCAGGCAAAAGUCAGCAAAGGAAAAAACUAACAAAGGCAGCAGAAGAAGCUUAAUAUAUGUGCACAUGUAAUGAUGCAAAAAUGCUAUGGUUUUGUUUUUAAAUAUUUAAUAUGUUUUAUUUUGUUUCCACCUAAUUAAUGAGAUGAAGUUUGUGCACUGCAUCUCUUUUAUCAGGUUGAAUGUAAUGUAAUGUAAUGUAAUGUUUAUGUUUAUGCUA